UCUUGAUUCCAUGCCAACAAAUCAUGAACUGUCUAUCAUUCCACACAUCUAUUUUUAGAGCAUUCUCAGCUGCUUCCAAUAAAAUGAUAAAUGAUACAUGUGCACAGAGGACUAAUACUGGUCAUGGGCAGGGCUGUUUCCAUCUGAAAUGCAUGCUGGAGCUUUGGAAUGAAACAACGUGACAAAGUUACAUGCAAGUGAAAAAGAAAGUAAGGCUCCUAAGGUAAGUUCUACUUUGAAAUCUGGAGAAAACAUGCCAGCAAUGUGACAAUAUGACAGGAAGCCUUCAUGGACAUUGUUGAUUGUGUUUUGGACAAUCUCAACACCGAACUUUAAGGCUAAUCUGAUUUCUUCCCAUCUCUUCAAACCUUUCUAUAUCAAACAAAUUUGACCUCUCGUGCACGAUAAAGUAGGUAGGUAAAUAUUAGUAAAGCAGAAAUCUAGUAGUUGGAUUCAUUGUACUAUUAGUGGUUAGAUGUGGUUAGAAAGAUUUCUUUAUUUUAAUGAAAAUUUUAGAGCAGCCUAAACACUGAAAUGUGCCAAUAAUCAAAUAUGGAAUAGGAAAUUAUUUAUUUUUGAAAGUGAUAAUGACCUAAUUUCAUACUGUUUUCAAUAGAAAAAAAUAUUAGUCUGCUUUCAAGUCAAAGAGUGAGUUUCAAAUUCAAUUGUUCCAUUUGAUAAAUCUCCUAGGCCCAAAACCCAAAGAGAAGCCCUUGAGAGGCAACACAAUGUAAAUUUUGAGUUUUGGUGGCUAGAGAAAAAGAGCGGUAUUUUGUGGGUGCUCAGUGACAAAUGUGCCCAGAAUGAUGCCAUCGGCUUAUAACUCUGAUGUGAGUGGAGACUCGUAUUGCAGGUUCUGCCUGGAAAGUACAGAAAUAGAACCUGUUACCAUUUCAUGAAAGGGAAAAAAAAGAAAAACAAGAAAGGAAAAAAAGAAAACACAAAAGAGAGAGAGCAUAAGGCACUACUAUCUGGGAGCCCCGGAAAUGUUCUUUUGUUCCUGAAAGCCAGAUAUUACCUCAGCUGUUAAAAUGUUCAGCACAUGCUGCAAGCAGCAGUUUAAGUCAAUACAUCACUACUUUUUCUUGCUUUAGCUCUGGCCAGGAAAACUGAAAUGUAUAUGACAGCUCCAUCUUCUAUUUGACAACAGUGACUAGCAGUGGCAUCUGGCACAUUUGCAGUGGUUCUGAGUAGUGCCAGCUCUCACUGAGUACGCUUAUAAAAAGCAACAACCAAUCUGACUUCAAAUCAAAGGAAUUUUUUGCUAGCUAAGACACUCACAAAACAGAGUUAUAUGUGGAUCAGCUGAAAUAUCAGAAUUUAUACAGAAGAUGAUCACGACCACAAAGAAAUCACCUCCCUCUCCAGUAUUUCUGCUCACUCACUUCACUUCAGCACAAGAGCAUGCAAUUACCCAUGCUGCUGGCACUGCCGGGGCUCUCCAUGUGCUUGUUAGCACCAGCAUUUGGAAAUGCAGCGACCUGAGAGAAAAGCUGAUCCUUUCCUCACUCUUAGAUCAAAGAGUUGAAGGAAAUAAGGAAUCAAGUGCCUUGCUUCUUACUUUAUCCAUAGAUGUAGUUACCACUGCCUCUGAUAGAAAAAAAUGAUGCAGGGCUGCAUCUCCUGCUGCUCCCUAUUACCAUCUGAAUUGAAGGAAGGAGAGAGAGCCCUUCAGCUCAGCAUUCUGUUUCUUCGCAUCUAUGUGUCUUGUGCUGUGCCAUGUAAAGGAAGGAUGAUACACUGUUCUCUUCCAUUACUUAUUUAACAAUUCCCAUAGAAACAAACUCAGUAGAGAAAAAGCAUCCUGUUUCUAAUAUGGUCGUUCUUCUCAAAAAUGUAAUUAUAAAACUCUUUUUCACAUACAGUGAGUGAAGUUCAAAAGAUGGCAAAGCCUUAUCUCUCCUCCUCACCACUGAAAACAGUUUAAACAAGAAAGCAGCCUGUGCCUGCUGUUUUGGGAGUAUGAAAGGAAACUCUUCUGAGAAAAGUGGUGAUAAUGAAUCCAUCCCUGCUUCAAAUCACCUUUCUUCUUCAGCCCUCAAUCAUUUCUGACUCUGUUUCAUCUCUUUCUUUAGUUAUUGGAACUCUUUGCUUUCUGCACUCCUAGGCCGCAUCAAAUCUCCAGGAAACUCUGGGAUACUAAAGGUUUAUUGGUUUAAUAAAUAAUAAUUGAAAAA